UACGUAGGGGGCAAGCGUUGUCCGGAUUUAUUGGGCGUAAAGAGCGUGUAGGCGGCCAUGUAGGUCCGGUGUGAAAACUCGAGGCUUAACCUCGAGAUGUCAUCGGAAACCAUUUGGCUAGAGUCCGGAAGAGGAGAGUGGAAUUCCUGGUGUAGCGGUGAAAUGCGCAGAUAUCAGGAAGAACACCAAUGGCGAAGGCAGCUCUCUGGGACGGUACUGACGCUGAGACGCGAAAGCGUGGGGAGCGAACAGG
rnacentral:rRNA from 1 species